CCCUUAGAUGUUCUGGGCCGCACGCGCGCUACACUGAUGCAUUCAACGAGCCUAUCCUUGACCGACAGGUCCGGGUAAUCUUUGAAUCUGCAUCGUGACGGGGAUAGAUUAUUGCAAUUAUUAAUCUUCAACGAGGAAUGCCUAGUAGGCGCAAGUCAUCAGCUUGCGUCGAUUACGUCCCUGCCCUUUGUACACACCGCCCGUCGCUCCUAACGAUUGGGUGUGCUGGUGAAAUGUUCGGAUCGGCCGUUUGUCGCGGUUUCCGCGUCAUGUGGCUGAGAAGUUCAUUAAACCCUCCCACCUAGAGGAAGGAGAAGUCGUAACA
rnacentral:rRNA from 1 species